GAACGCUAGCUACAGGCUUAACACAUGCAAGUCGAGGGGCAUCAGGAAGAAAGCUUGCUUUCUUUGCUGGCGACCGGCGCACGGGUGAGUAACACGUAUCCAACCUGCCCUUUACUCGGGGAUAGCCUUUCGAAAGAAAGAUUAAUACCCGAUGGCAUAAUGAUUCCGCAUGGUUUCAUUAUUAAAGGAUUCCGGUAAAGGAUGGGGAUGCGUUCCAUUAGGUUGUUGGUGAGGUAACGGCUUACCAAGCCUUCGAUGGAUAGGGGUUCUGAGAGGAAGGUCCCCCACAUUGGAACUGAGACACGGUCCAAACUCCUACGGGAGGCAGCAGUGAGGAAUAUUGGUCAAUGGGCGCUAGCCUGAACCAGCCAAGUAGCGUGAAGGAUGAAGGCUCUAUGGGUCGUAAACUUCUUUUAUAUAAGAAUAAAGUGCAGUAUGUAUACUGUUUUGUAUGUAUUAUAUGAAUAAGGAUCGGCUAACUCCGUGCCAGCAGCCGCGGUAAUACGGAGGAUCCGAGCGUUAUCCGGAUUUAUUGGGUUUAAAGGGAGCGUAGGUGGACUGGUAAGUCAGUUGUGAAAGUUUGCGGCUCAACCGUAAAAUUGCAGUUGAUACUGUCAGUCUUGAGUACAGUAGAGGUGGGCGGAAUUCGUGGUGUAGCGGUGAAAUGCUUAGAUAUCACGAAGAACUCCGAUUGCGAAGGCAGCUCACUGGACUGCAACUGACACUGAUGCUCGAAAGUGUGGGUAUCAAACAGGAUUAGAUACCCUGGUAGUCCACACAGUAAACGAUGAAUACUCGCUGUUUGCGAUAUACAGUAAGCGGCCAAGCGAAAGCAUUAAGUAUUCCACCUGGGGAGUACGCCGGCAACGGUGAAACUCAAAGGAAUUGACGGGGGCCCGCACAAGCGGAGGAACAUGUGGUUUAAUUCGAUGAUACGCGAGGAACCUUACCCGGGCUUAAAUUGCAGUGGAAUGAUGUGGAAACAUGUCAGUGAGCAAUCACCGCUGUGAAGGUGCUGCAUGGUUGUCGUCAGCUCGUGCCGUGAGGUGUCGGCUUAAGUGCCAUAACGAGCGCAACCCUUAUCUUUAGUUACUAACAGGUUAUGCUGAGGACUCUAGAGAGACUGCCGUCGUAAGAUGUGAGGAAGGUGGGGAUGACGUCAAAUCAGCACGGCCCUUACGUCCGGGGCUACACACGUGUUACAAUGGGGGGGUACAGAAGGCAGCUAGCGGGUGACCGUAUGCUAAUCCCAAAAUCCUCUCUCAGUUCGGAUCGAAGUCUGCAACCCGACUCCGUGAAGCUGGAUUCGCUAGUAAUCGCGCAUCAGCCACGGCGCGGUGAAUACGUUCCCGGGCCUUGUACACACCGCCCGUCAAGCCACGGGAGCCGGGGGUACCUGAAGUACGUAACCGCAAGGAUCGUCCUAGGGUAAAACUGGUGACUGGGGCUAAGUC
rnacentral:rRNA from 1 species